CAUUGCACCGUGACCUCAACAGGAUUCCACCUCUUGCUGUUUGAGCAAGCAGCGAACAUCUUCACUCAUGGGUUGAAGUACGACGCAUAAUAAUACACUCACUCCAGGAGAUAGAAAAGAAGACUUCUAAUCACAUGUUUAUCGCUCGAGCUUUCGGUCCGGGUGACAAAUGCCAGCGGGCUGAGGAAUUAUUUUCUUUUUGCUUCUCAAAGUCAGUAAUUUCAUGACGAUGGUGAAUGUAAACACGUGAAAAACACAAUAAGAAUUCGUCCGAGUGAAAUAUUUCAGAGUUGACAUCAUUUGUGGCGAUUCAAUUCGCAAUAAAAUUUAAAUGAUUGAAGUUCUCGGUGAUUUUUUUUUUUGAUCGAAUUUGAAAAAGUUCUAUCAAUUAUAACAUUCAAAAUGACCAAGAGUGUAGAGGAAUCAUUCUAUCAGCAAGAAAGAGAUGUGAAACAGCAACAGUCACAAAAGGUGCCUAAUGCUAUUAGAUCGAAUAUGCCUUCGAUAUUGUUUCUUUAUGAAUAUCUACUGCCUAUGUUUCUUGAACAGCGUAAACCUGGCCAAGGACGAACACACCUCAGAAGGCAGACACUCCAACCCUCCAAUGUGAUCAAAGAAACACGCCCAGAAAUCAAAUAAAAAUACUCGGAUCAAUGGGAGUAAAGUAAUUCCCAUUGUGCAUUGAACAUGGCUCAAAAAGUGACUGUUACAGUGAACGAAGGUAAAGUACGAGGGGCCAAGAAAGUGUCCAAAUUCUCCGGAGCAGAAUAUUACUCAUUUUUUGGUAUCCCUUAUGGACAAAAUACUCGCGGAUCGAUGCGAUUGAAGGACCCAGUCAAAGCGAAACCCUGGGAUGGCAUUUUAGACGCUAGUGUUGAAAAAAAAGAAGGAUGUUUGCAGUACUCGUAUGUUCGGCAAAAUAUCGUCGGUUCAGAAGACUGUCUUUAUACCAAUAUCCACACUCCAAAUCUGCCUUCAAAAAAUGAUGCUUUAAAGGCUGUAAUUGUCCUUCUACAUCCAGGAGGACUCAGUCACGGUUCACCUGAAACUUGGCAUUAUGGAUCGCCUGAUUAUAUUAUGCAUUUAGACGUCUUAUACGUUGGUAUAGCACAUCGAUUGCAUUUUCUAGGGUUUCUGAACCUGGGAUUGGACGAAUGUUCGGGCAACCAGGGAUUAAAAGAUAUCAUCCUCGGGCUAGAAUGGAUCAGAGAUAACAUUUCCGUUUUCGGAGGUGAUCCAAAUAAUGUGACUUUACUAGGAAGCAGCAGUGGAGCUGCACUUGUACAUAAUAUGAUGCUGUCUCAUCGAGCUCAAGGAUUAUUUCACAAAGCUGUAAUGAUGAGUGGCUACUUCUUCAAUCCUCUACGCCUGACCAUGGCAGAGAAUAUGACCAUGAGCGCCGAAUUAGCUGAAAACCUCGAGUACGACGUGCCCGAUAAAUCAGAUAGAAAAAAAUUACUCUCGAUUUACAGAAAAAUAGGAGCAGAGCACUUGAUCGCUUACAGACCAGACAGAAAAAUUAACAUGGUUUUAGGCACACCAUUUCCAGUAUCACCUUUCAUGCCCACUGUAGACCAUCGAGAAAACGGCGUGCAUCCUCAUCACUUCCGAAAAUCCAUCCCAUCAACAGCUCGUGUACCUUUACUUUAUGGGAUUUGCGAAAAAGAGGCGUUCGGAGCAUUUUGCAGAGGAAUGCGUGAAGGAACAAUGAAGAAUUUCGUAACAUCAAUUCGUAACAAUCAUUAUGGUUGGGCAUACGACGUCACAGAUGAUGAAGUUCAAUACAUUAAAAAACGACUAGGAGACUGCUACUGGAAAGGACAAAACAUAGAAUCGGCUUCUUUGCCGAUAUUAAUCGACGUUUAUACAGACUUGGCUAAUUCAGAUCUUUACAAAACAUUGCUCGAUGUGGUGGCGAAAGAUCUGCCCGAAUCUGUUUAUGUCUACAAAUUCACCUUCGAAGGAAACGCUUGCACGUUGAAAGAUAAAUUAUCUGUGCUGCUUGAGGAAUCCGUACAAGUGUUUUAUAUAAUCACACUUCACACUCGACGAUACAGGAACGUUUCACGCAGACGACUUCAGUUACUGGACCCCUAUAGUUUUACCUGGGGACGAGCCGCAUCGAAUUUUUUCCAAUGAAACAAUACAAAUGAUCCAUACUUUCACAAAAAUGGUCACAAAUUUCGCUAAAACCGGUGAUCCCAACAUCGAUGAGUUCAAAGUACACUGGGAUCCUUCGACGACAGAUAAACCAUGUUACAUGCAAAUAGACAACGAAAGCAGACUGAUAGAAGGCAAAUUGAACGGCGAAAGGAUGGAGUUUUUGGAAAACUUGAAGCACGAGUUGAGAAAAGAUUAUUAGAUUGAUUCGUAAAUUCAAAUAUAAAGACUUCGGUUUCGUUCGUCAA